UCCCGGUGCAAUGAGACUAGCCUC
rnacentral:piRNA from 1 species